CGCAUUAAUCUAUAAAUUGGUAAACUCAACAGAAAAAAUUAAACCGAGUAAGCUCUUUAUGGUUGUAAAAGCAGGCCUUGUAGUCCCGAUUUAUCGGGGUGAGUCUUCGGACCGAUGGAAGUUUGAUCAGCCGGGCGCUCAAAUCCUGUUAUACAGGGGUUAUACACAAUGGAUUAGUGCGGAUUUUUUU
rnacentral:sRNA from 1 species